rnacentral:rRNA from 1 species
GAUGAACGCUGGCGGCGUGCCUAAUACAUGCAAGUCGAGCGAACGGACGAGAAGCUUGCUUUUCUGAUGUUAGCGGCGGACGGGUGAGUAACACGUGGAUAACCUACCUAUAAGACUGGGAUAACUUCGGGAAACCGGAGCUAAUACCGGAUAAUAUUUUGAACCGCAUGGUUCAAAAGUGAAAGACGGUCUUGCUGUCACUUAUAGAUGGAUCCGCGCUGCAUUAGCUAGUUGGUAAGGUAACGGCUUACCAAGGCAACGAUGCAUAGCCGACCUGAGAGGGUGAUCGGCCACACUGGAACUGAGACACGGUUCAGACUCCUACGGGAGGCAGCAGUAGGAAAUCUUCCGCAAUGGGCGAAAGCCUGACGGAGCAACGCCGCGUGAGUGAUGAAGGUCUUCGGAUCGUAAAACUCUGUUAUUAGGGAAGAACAUAUGUGUAAGUAACUGUGCACAUCUUGACGGUACCUAAUCAGAAAGCCACGGCUAACUACGUG